rnacentral:rRNA from 1 species
CCUACGGGUGGCAGCAGUGAGGAAUAUUGGUCAAUGGACGAGAGUCUGAACCAGCCAAGUAGCGUGAAGGAUGACUGCCCUAUGGGUUGUAAACUUCUUUUAUAUGGGAAUAAAACGUUCCACGUGUGGGAUUUUGUAUGUACCAUAUGAAUAAGGAUAGGCUAACUCCGUGCCAGCAGCCGCGGUAAUACGGAGGAUCCGAGCGUUAUCCGGAUUUAUUGGGUUUAAAGGGAGCGUAGGUGGAUUGUUAAGUCAGUUGUGAAAGUUUGCGGCUCAACCGUAAAAUUGCAGUUGAAACUGGCAGUCUUGAGUACAGUAGAGGUGAGCGGAAGUCGUGGUGUAGCGGUGAAAUGCUUAGAUAUCACGAAGAAAUCCGAUUGCGAAGGCAGUUCACUGGACUGCAACUGACACUGAGGCUCGAAAGUGGGGGUAUCAAACAGGAUUAGAUACCCGAGUAGUC